rnacentral:rRNA from 1 species
GAUGAACGCUGGCGGCGUGCCUAAUACAUGCAAGUCGAGCGAACAGACGAGGAGCUUGCUCCUCUGACGUUAGCGGCGGACGGGUGAGUAACACGUGGAUAACCUACCUAUAAGACUGGGAUAACUUCGGGAAACCGGAGCUAAUACCGGAUAAUAUAUUGAACCGCAUGGUUCAAUAGUGAAAGACGGUUUUGCUGUCACUUAUAGAUGGAUCCGCGCCGCAUUAGCUAGUUGGUAAGGUAACGGCUUACCAAGGCAACGAUGCGUAGCCGACCUGAGAGGGUGAUCGGCCACACUGGAACUGAGCCACGGUCCAGACUCCUACGGGAGGAAGCAGUAGGGAAUCUUCCGCAAUGGGCGAAAGCCUGACGGAGCAACGCCGCGUGAGUGAUGAAGGUCUUCGGAUCGUAAAACUCUGUUAUUAGGGAAGAACAAAUGUGUAAGUAACUAUGCACGUCUUGACGGUACCUAAUCAGAAAGCCACGGCUAACUACGUG